AGAAAAGAAAUGGGGUGAGCAGUGGAGUAAAAGGGCCCUUGUUGUGCCCAUAUAAAACAUUUCCCUAUCAACAACUUUUAUUUUAUGUAAUAGUUUUCAAGUUUUAAAAGGUUGGCUUGGUUUAUUAUUUAUGAUGAGUGAUCAUCACAAGAACAAGGCAGUGUGAAAGUCAAAUUGUUUUCAAUCCCCUUGAUACAUAGAAUGAAUGGAGACAGUUAAACAUCUACUGUCAUUCAUUAUACAACAUGAGGAUUAAAACCACUGCCACUAAAAAUGCACAAGAAUGGGUUUAAAUUACAAGAUCCACAAUAUGAUCCCAAUCCGUAGUCAAUUUGCUAAAUAAAACUUAAUAACUUCUUUGGGAAUAAAAGAAAGCCAUAAGUGAAGAUUUUCACUAUCUCCUUAGGCCAGCCCUGACCAGGGUAGAGAAACUAGAAUAUAUCAGAUUAUAUGUAUUCUAGAUUAUCAUGUACCAGAUUAGUGAGCCACCCCCUUUUCACCAUUUAAAUUUCCUAACUACAAAUUACAAAUUUAGAACUUCUAAGAAAAAAAAUUGAUUUCUGAUGUUAAUAUUUACAUAGUGUGUUCCUAUUUCAUUAUACAAUCUGAUAACACGGUGUUGUGGUAUGCUGAGAACAGCCUUGGUUUUUAGGGGUGUUUAGUCAUUCUUUAAGACAGUGUUCUUAGAUAGCUGAUUCAGUUAAGUCUUGCUCUCCAGACACAGGACCAGCCUGGUUUCUACCAAAAAAGGCCUUUGCUCUAUGAGUUUCAAAAAUUAUUACUUCUUCCUAGCAUUAAGCCCACUGAUUUUAGCCAGCCAUGCCCUAUGCAAUUAGAACAUAUCCAGGCAUCAGAGAAUUAUCAAGUAUAAACCCCCUCUCCCUCAUUUGUUGAUCAUAUAAUGAGCUCACUAUGGAUCUCCGUAUUCCCCUUUCUGAUACAUCCUUAUUAUCUCUGAACCAUAUAGACUUGGAAGUUCUUACAUAGCUUGAGUUAACACAAUCAAUUAAUCCCAUCUCUUCUAAGAGUAAGGUCUACAGAGACAUAAAACAAGCACUAGGGAAAUAUCGACAAAACCAUCAAUGACACCUUCAGGAAUGCAUACUAUAAAAACAGAAGUGUCACCGAGCAUAGUCAUAUGUUACUCCCAAAAUAAAAUUACUUUGUUGAUAAGCAACAUCUCAGUUCUGUUGGUAGAUUUUCAAUGGUUCUUAUUUCUAAAACAUUUCUUAAAAAUUUCAGACCCUUAAAAUCAGAAUUUCCCAAAUUAUAGAGGAAAGGAACUCUCAAAAGAAAUAAAGGUGAGAGGUUGAAGUUCCAGAUGAGUUGCUCCAAAAAGCAGAGGAAAACUUCUGCCAAUUAGAUUGUUGAAGGUUUGGACAAUAAGGGGAAAGAUGAAGGGAAACAAAGAAAAGUAGCAGGAAGGAGCCUAAUCUGAGAUGGUGGCAAAAAGGCUUCUGGACACAAGGCAAUUCACAAAGGUCAGGAAGCUGGCAGAAGUACUGGAGGAAGGAGGUGUGGUAAAGUAACUGGGAUCAUAUCCAAGGAUCACAGUAAGAACAGUCCAGGAGCUACAUGAGAGAAGCCGUCACUCCUCUAGGGAAGACAGUAAAAUGCUGGGGAAAGCAGGAAUUAUAAAGAAAAAUCUGUGAUGAAAAAAAUCUUCACCACCCACCAAAAGCUACCCAUGAAAAGAGGUUUGAGACAAGCUAAAAAUCACAAAUUUAGAAAUGGAAGAGACUUCAUCAGAAUAAAUGCUCUUAACUUACAGUUAAGAAAACAAUCAAAUAGGUGAAGGAAUUAGUUCAAAGUCAUGCAGAUGCCCCAGAAUCCCUUUUCCCUAUAAGUAGGCUUUAAUACAACAGGGAAAAUAGCAUUGCAUGAUAGCACUAUGCAGGGGUAAGCUGGUUUUCAAAUUUCUUUCCCUCAGUGUCUUUACAGUCGAUCAUGAGGUACUGGUGGCUUUAGCCUUCUCAGACACAUUCAUGGAGGGUUAACUGCUCUGUUGAAAUUCAGAGUCUGCUGAAACAGUUUUUCAGAAAACUAAGCAGUCUCAGCUUUGCUUUAAGUCAGAUUCAACUACAGAAAAAGGGAAGGCCAAGUAUGAGGAAAUCGUAACUUGCCAUGAUGUGUUCCAUUGGAUUUAUCCUUCCCUAAUGGCAGGGGGAAAAAACGAUCCAGUCUCCUGGCCUCAAUUAUCUAAGUGGAAAAUUCCAAAAUUUUUCUUCACCCCCUAAAGUAGUACUAACAAGCACCUCAAGUUCAAAACCUGAAACAAUUCAUUACUAUCACCCGGACUGAGGGAUGCCCUCUAAACUGAUGAGUUAUCUGCUAUAGGAUUGGGCACUACGGUCUUCUAUGACUCCUUUUUCCUUCACCAGAUUUCCCUUCUUUCAAGUCUUCCAUGAUUAUCACCCAAGCAGAGAUUCUACCUUUUCAAGUAACCAGUACUGGGAAAACUCAAAGACUCGAGAGAAGCUUAAAGGAGGACAAUGUGAAAGAUAAUCAUGAGGAACUCAAUGAAAUUAAACUGCUAUAAGGAGUUCAUGACUGGGAAGCUUUUGGCCACCAAAAACCAUCUUUAAAUGACUGUGGAGUCCUGCUUCAAUUGAAGAUUGGCCCUGGAGACUGAUGCCCAGGGUAAUAAGAUGAGUCAUCUGCAAAAGAUUUUAUUUUUUUUGCGGUCAAACGUUUUACAUAAAUGUGAGGGCUGGAAAGCAAGAAGACAUCUGUGUAUUCAGAGGCUGAAAUGAAAACCGAGUCCAACAUCCACGUCAAGUAAAUAUUUCCAUUGCUGAUAUUCAGUGAAAUGCAGCACACAGCUGUUUCACUUAGAAGAAAAGACUCACUUAAAAAAACAAAACUAUUUAUUUGGAUUUUUGUUUUCAUUAAAGCUUUACAUCUGAGCUUGACAGACUUAAUCAUAAAACUUGUAUUUAGUCGAGUUAAUUUACUCCCUAUUAUUAUUUCUCUAACUGCCUUCCUCCAAACCCUACUUCUUGCCCACAACUGGCUCCACAGCAAGCCUGUCUAUGCACAAGCGGGCUCUCUGCUCCAGGGCAGCCUCUCUCCUUCCCCUCUGACUCCUUCCCACAGCAUACAGCAGGAUUGCUGACUGACAGGGCACACUAUGAGCUGUUACCCCCACUCCCCAUCCCCUAAAUGCUGGAUGCCUUGUGAGAAGAGGUCCUGCUAGCAGGAGGCGAGUGGCCAACUUCCAAGACUUAGUCAUGAUAACCUCCUGUGAGCGAGGGCCGUGGGAUGCAUGAAAGACAUGACAGUGGAGUUGCUGAAAGAGUCAGAAGGGGGGUCCAAGUUAUAAAAUAUAAAUAUAGGGCCUGCAUUAGAGGUUUAAAUUUGGGGCUAUGAAAGGUAGAGGAAAUAGAGGACGAUAGCUUGAAGAGAUGGAGUUUAAAUAAGUUUUUCCAAAAGACAAGAAAAUCCUAGGUACAUCUGUGGGUAGCAAGAAAUAAGUCAGGAGAUAAAGACUGAAUGAGAGAAAGAAAUGGAGAUCACCAAGGAUCUCAUGAGCUCCUGGGUAGGGAUCUAGCAUCUUAUGCUGAGCUCUGGACACACACUUUUAGCCACCUAAUGGACAUUUCAAACUGGACCCACACACAUCUAAGACUCAUCUUGCCCAAAACAGAAUUCAGUUGUUUUCCAUUAAAAAACCUACCCCACCCCAAAUUCCCUGGUUUAUGCCAAGGGCACCAUCUCUUAACAUAAGCAUUGCCCGGGUUGACAACUUCCAUGUUAUCCUUAACUUUUCACUCUCCUUCCCCUCCCAAUAUUUAGUUAAUUGCUGAAUCCUGUCAUUUCUACCCCCACAAAAUUGCUCCCAUUCAUUCCCUUAUCUCUGACUAAUCCUAAAUCCAAGCCCUUUCCUCGACUAUUUCAAAUAACUUUCUCCUUAGUCUUUCUAUGCACAGCUGCUAAAGUAACAGAUAGAUGGAAGGAAGGAAGAAAGGGAGAGAGAAAGGAGGGAGGGAAGGAGGCAGCGAAGAAGAUGAACUUAUUAAAGAUUUAUUGUGUUAAGGCUUCUACAAACAUUAAUUUAAUCAUCAUCUCCAUUUUCCCUUUGAGGAAACAGAAACUGGUUCACCCUGGGUCACAGAGCUAGUCUCACACUAGACUGAACUCAGAUCUUUCUAAUUCUGAGGCCUGUGCUCUACCCAUUAUGUGACCUGUUUGUUUGUUUUUUUGAGGGGGGAGAAUAAAUGUUGAGGACCUUCUGAAGUAAAGAAUGAUCCCCAUCACUCCAAACAGAAAGCACGCCACGACAGCCUCUAUUAUAUCAAUAAAGAAGAGGCCAGGUCUUCAGCUACAAAGGAGAUGGUGUUACAGGUACAGAAAAAAGGACUGGAAUGGCCAGUGUAAUAUGGUCUCUGCCACAGAAGAAUACCAGUUUUAUUGGUUCUCUCUCCAAAGCAACUGGUUACACCUGGCAGCCUCAAUAGCAUUAGUCUUCCAUUUUCUCAAUCUCCUAUAAUUAGGGAGAGAGAGAACUUAGUGAUAAAAAUGUGCAUGUAAAGUUGCCAUGCUGACGAGCCUCUACUAAACAGUUGAAAAAAGGCAGUGGAAAAAGCUCAGAAUUUAUUAUCAAGGUCACAGUUUUAACCAGAUUUAUGGAAGAGAUUCAUCAAGGCCAGUUCUCCUUGGAUGUUGUUUAUACCCCAAAAUUCAAACUGCCUAGCCAAACACAAACAGAUACACAGGACAUAAGGAGGAGAAAUGGACGAUUAAACAUGUUCUAGGAGAGACUUAAGGGAGUACUUGUUUCUCCAAAGUAUUUGCUCAUACUGUGAGAACAAUACAGCCACAGGACUCCAAUUGCACAUAAUUUAAGAACAAAUGCAAAGCAGUCAAAUCUAGAGAAUAAAAUGUACAAGGGAAAUAUUAAAUGCCUUCACCUAUUCCCCAAGAGAAUGCAUUUUUGUUUACUAGCAAAAAUCCCUAGAAUGCUGAGCAAUGAAGAAAGGAUGAAAUAUGGAGCUCAAGCUACAUACUAGUAUUAAAAAGGAGGCAAGUAAUGGCCAGAGCUAAUCCAUUCCAAGAACCAUUCCUACGGUAGAAAGGAUAGUAGACUCAGAAUCUGGGGAAAACUUUGCAUUUAAAAAAAUAGAGAGAGGGGCAGCUAGGUGGCGCAGUGAAUAAAGCACCAGCCCUAAAGUCAGGAGGACCUGAGUUCAAAUCUAAACUCAGAUACUAAACACUUCCUAGCUAUAUGACCCUGGGCAAGUCACUUAACCCCAAUUUCGAGAGAGAAACAGAGACAGAGACAGAGAGAGAGAGAGCGCGAGCAUGUAGAUUUAUAAGAGGUUUUUAAAAGGAUAAAAUUAGAGAAUAAAAGUAAAGCACUAUAUAUAAAUGCAAAAGUAUCACUCUCUAAGGUAUCAUCAAAGAUUGGGAAUCAAUAUUCUAGUCAAAUUCAUGUCAAAUUCAUUCAUGCUCAUAAAAGAAAGCAUUCCAUUUAACGGUGAUAGACCUCUCUUUCUUUCUUUCUCUCUCUCUCUUUCUCUCUCUCUCUCUCAUUCUCCCCCCCUACAUUCAUUAUGCCUACCAUCCCUCCCCUCGUAAGGAUGCGUGUGUUAUAUCAUUUAGAAAGAAAUAUACAUUUUGUAAUAAGUUUACCUCCUACUAAACAAACUCAGGAAAUUAGAAAGCUGUUUAUUAUAGUCUAUACAUGGGUAAAAAAGUCAUAUACCUUAGUGAUUUUUCAGAUAGAUAUAGGUAUGUGUUUUAAAGAGGAAACUAUAAGCUAUAGUUGGAAUAAACUCCUUUCUGCUAAA